AUGUCAUGGUUAAUGCACCCCAGAUGGUGACUACAGGGAAGAGAGUGUCUCUUCAGUGCUCUGCAGACUCUGUACCGAUGGCCAGUUUUACCUGGAUCCGCAACGAGGCUGUAAUAGGAGACAAGUCGGAGCUGGUCAUUGAGAGGGUUGCCGUUAGUGAUGCUGGGGUGUACAGCUGUGAAGCCGUGAACAGCAUCACCAACCACAAGGCCUCUACAGCGCACACACACUGGAUGUGAGAAAUAGUAAUCCUCUGUCUGAGAUGACUAUCGCUGGGAUUGUGAUUGGUUCAGCUGCAGGGAUAUGCCUGGUGGCAGGCCUACUAGGAUUCGCCCUGAAGAAAGCUGGUGGUCAACUUGGAUUCAAGACAGGAAGAUGGAACACUCAAAAGAGAACAGUGUUGGAUUUUGAGAACACAGGCAGCUUCAAUAUAAAGUAAACGAGGAAAGAUCUGUUCAUCCUACUGUACAUUGUGGACUUUGGUAGGGUACAUUUUGUCAAGAAAAUUGAAGAUAAUGAAAAAAAAGAAUAGCAUUGAAUUUCAUGUCAAAUGUGAAACAUGUAUUGAGGACAAGAAAAAUGUGAUUUUAGUGGGGGUUUUUUUUUCAGAUUAUGCAAUGACAACCAAUAAUAUCUGCCAUAUGCAAACUGACUUGACUAAGGCAAUUACUUCCUCAAGUAAUUGUUGUAAUUCCUUUGGGAAUACAGUAUAGC